AACAACUAUAAGUCUGCUUCCUGUUUUCUGAUACAAAAGAACUUUAGAAUCUCUUCUUCUGUUCUUAUACUCCUUUCUUUUCUGCUUUAUUCUUGAGAUCUUCUUGACCCCAUUUUUUUUUUCUAUCAUCGUUUCAACAAUAUUAUGCCAAUGCAUUCUGCUCAGGAAAGCAGGAUGCGCCUUGGACGACUCUGCCAGCACAAAAUUUUCAGGAAUGAGGAGGAAGCAGCUAUAAUACAACAACAAGUAUACUGUAGAUAUCCAACUCAUGAGGCCUUGCAGUACAAACGCUUCAGAAGAUGCUAGUUGACAUGAUCAUUAACCCUAUUGGGGUCAUUUUGGUUGAAAUUUGAAGACAUGAUGGGAGAUUCCCAGCCCUGGACAAGGCCAAAAGUUGUUGCAGUAACUGAAACCAAUGCAUCAGCG